CAAAGAGGUGUCAGGGAAACAAGGCAGCCCCUGCCCCUUCCUCCUGCUGCCACGUGACACUGAGCCGCCCACGCGCCAAGUGGGGCCCUUGUGCUGGUGAAGCAUCAACCCCGAGUCCUCAGUCACCACCGUGGAGUCAGAGAGCGGACCCGGGUCACCCUCCCCCAGCAGGCAGAAGAAAGUGAAUGGAGGCCUGGACGCCAGGGUGGGUCCUGCCCCCGUGUCCAUGGGAACCAGCCUUGACUGAGAAGAGGAAGUGGGGUGAGCAUCCCCUGAGAAUUUGGGUCUAAAGACUUUUGUCAGAAGUUCAAAGUCAUCCGGGCCAAGCCUGUGGAUUCUGCCACAGUCCGUCCAUCAUGGCCUCCUGUGAAUGACCCUCAGGUCAUGCCCACCCUCAGAGGACACAGAGAUGUGUCACUGAAAGUCCUUGAGUCAAGAAUUGGAUCACAGGGUUAGGAAGGGUGAGAAGCCCUUAUGCUUUCCCACCUGCAAGUUGGAGAACCAGGAAGGCCAGUGGGUUAAUUCAGUUCAAGUCUUAAGGUUUGAGAGCCAGGGCCAUGCCUUCAGGCAGAAGAUGGAUGUCUCAGCUCCAGCAGGGAGUGAAUUGGCCCCUCUGCCUUUUCAUUCUGUUGUUUUAUCAGAGGCCUCAGUGGAUUGGAUGAGCUCACACUGAGGACACAAGAACCUUCAGUGUCAACGUUCACCAGCACACCACCCCCGGAAAGUCUGGAAUCCUCAGUCAGAAAAGUUCAGUAUCUCGAAGUGGGCCCCCAUCCAGGUGUCUGCCCUGGGGACAGAGGCACCUGUGUUCACUGUCACAGUCAACUUUCUUCUUUCAUGUCAAAAUUGAUUCUGAAAACUCAACAGAGCCCAUCACCUUCACUUUUGUGGGACUAGCAGCACUGGGCCACCUCUCACAGCCUGUCAUACUAUAUUCAGUGUGAGCAAGAGUUUUCUAAAGCUGGGCUCUGGCCAUCUUUGCAUAAUGUAUGAAUUAAAAAUAAUUUUAUUCCCUC
rnacentral:lncRNA from 1 species